rnacentral:rRNA from 1 species
AGUGAACGCUGGCGGUAGGCCUAACACAUGCAAGUCGAACGGCAGCACAGUAAGAGCUUGCUCUUACGGGUGGCGAGUGGCGGACGGGUGAGGAAUACAUCGGAAUCUACUUUUUCGUGGGGGAUAACGUAGGGAAACUUACGCUAAUACCGCAUACGACCUACGGGUGAAAGCAGGGGAUCUUCGGACCUUGCGCGAUUGAAUGAGCCGAUGUCGGAUUAGCUAGUUGGCGGGGUAAAGGCCCACCAAGGCGACGAUCCGUAGCUGGUCUGAGAGGAUGAACAGCCCCACUGGAAAUGAGACACGGUCCAGACUCCUACGGGAGGCCACAGUUGGGAAUAUUGGACAAAGGGCGGAAGCCUGAUCCAGCCAUACCGCGGGGGUGAAGAAGGCCUUCGGGUUGUAAAGCCCUUUUGUUGGGAAAGAAAAGCAGCAGGUUAAUACCCCGCUGUUCUGACGGUACCCAAAGAAUAAGCACCGGCUAACUUCGUG